rnacentral:rRNA from 1 species
UACAGGGGGGGCAAGCGUUGUUCGGAAUUACUGGGCGUAAAGGGCUCGUAGGUGGCCAACUAAGUCAGACGUGAAAUCCCUCAGCUUAACUGGGGAACUGCGUCUGAUACUGGAUGGCUUGAGUUCGGGAGAGGUGAGUGGAACUGCGAGUGUAGAGGUGAAAUUCGUAGAUAUUCGCAAGAACACCAGUGGCGAAGGCGGCUCACUGGCCCGAUACUGACGCUGAGGCACGAAAGCGUGGGGAGCAAACAGG